AUUGAACGCUGGCGGCAGGCCUAACACAUGCAAGUCGAGCGGAUGAAGGGAGCUUGCUCCUGGAUUCAGCGGCGGACGGGUGAGUAAUGCCUAGGAAUCUGCCUGGUAGUGGGGGAUAACGUCCGGAAACGGGCGCUAAUACCGCAUACGUCCUGAGGGAGAAAGUGGGGGAUCUUCGGACCUCACGCUAUCAGAUGAGCCUAGGUCGGAUUAGCUAGUUGGUGGGGUAAAGGCCUACCAAGGCGACGAUCCGUAACUGGUCUGAGAGGAUGAUCAGUCACACUGGAACUGGGCCACGGUCCAGACUCCUGCGGGAGGCAGCAGUGGGGAAUAUUGGACAAUGGGCGAAAGCCUGAUCCAGCCAUGCCGCGUGUGUGAAGAAGGUCUUCGGAUUGUAAAGCACUUUAAGUUGGGAGGAAGGGCAGUAAGUUAAUACCUUGCUGUUUUGACGUUACCAACAGAAUAAGCACCGGCUAACUUCGUG
rnacentral:rRNA from 1 species